ACAGCAGCACGGAUGGUCGCGGCGAAAAGCUGAGGAAAGUCCGGGCUUCAUAGGGCAGGAUGCCGGAUAACGUCCGGUGGAGGUGACUCCCAGGAAAGUGCAACAGAAAAUAGACCGCCCAACUUUGUUGGGUAAGGGUGGAAUGGCGGUGUAAGAGACCACCGGUCUUCCGGUAACGGAAGGCGCUGUGCAAACCCCAUCUGAAGCAAGACCAAACAGAGGGCUAUACGGUUGCCCGCCGUGCUCUCGGGUAGGUCGCGUUCCGGGCCGGUAACGGUCCGGAGGAGCUGUCCGGUAACGGGCAGUCAAGAUAGAUGACCAUCUAUUACAUAACCCGGCUUAUAGUGCUGCUGUUGUU
rnacentral:RNase_P_RNA from 1 species